UGUGCUUUCCUUCGGAAGAGGAGGAUCCCUGGAGUCUUCUUUCCCCUUCCUCUCUAACCUAUCUUUAUAUAGAAAAUAUGAGGAAGGUGGAAAGACUAUCAAGCGGUCUUCCCAACCAUCUCUCCUCUCUCACGCAUUUAUGGAUUGAAGAUUGCCCCAAGUUGAGGUACUUGCCAGAGGAUGGCCUCCCUCCCUCCCUCCCUCCAACUUCUGUGGAUAUACAAAUGCGAGAUUCUGAAAGAAGGAUGCUCAAAACUCACUGGCCACUAUUGGCCCCUCAUCCAAGAAAUCCCUGAGAUCUACCUCGAUUGGUUCGGAUCCAAUGAAUUGAUUCUUCCACGUACAGUCAGUUCUUUAGGGUUCCGGGUAUGUUUUUGGUCUUAGAAUGCAUCAAUUUCGUUUCUCUUCUUCAAUUCCAUGCUUACUACGAAUUUAUUUAUUUCUUUCUUUUCCCAAGGACAAGUGUCGCAUGGAAUUCCCAGAAACCACAGACCGAAGGUCGGAGACUUGACAUUUGGGUGGCUGCCUCUUGCUAUAUUCAUCACAUGUCUUCCACUCUGCUUCAUGCCCAGACAUAUUAUGAAUGAAAAUGUACUAUGCUUCGCAUGAGAAUCACCAAGAAUCAUAGCGUUUCACAAUCAUAUUCCUCUGCAUUUUCAGCGUUUGUUGAAAGUUCUCUUCCUAUCAUCUUUUUCUUGUGCCCGUAGCUCAUUCGCUGGGGUUGU